AAUAGCUCAGUUGGUUAGAGCAUCUGACUGUUAAUCAGAGGGUCCUAAGUUCGAGUCUUAG
rnacentral:tRNA from 1 species